rnacentral:lncRNA from 1 species
AAUGUAAUUUAUAUUUGAAUUUUUGGCUAAUCAAAUGACAUAUGUUUUAUUGUCUUGCAGUUAUAUUAAUGAGCAAUAUUUAAUUAAAAGCUAAUUGAAUAUUCCAAGCGGCAAUUAUCUUGCAAUAGAGAUGCCAAAUCUGACAUGAGGAGGCAGGUGAGCAGAAAGCAGAACUUGUAUAAUUAUUCCUCUGAGAGAUGGAGAAGAGACCACACCAAGCAUUGCCACAGUGAGAGAUUAGUGAAGAUUCUGCCCUAAACAAAACCAUUUCCUUCGUUGAGCUUAUAUUGUACUUUCUUCAUCAGGUGACAAGACUUAAGUAGAGAAGUACUGUGUUUCACAUUUUGAGCCAACCAGAUAAUCUGUGGAUACAUUUUGUAGUCCAUUGUAGAUUCCCAAACAACCAGAUGCCUUUUUUCUUCUUUGGAAUCAGUAGGAUUUAAAUAAUAUGCCUGGAAGACUUCUGAACCACUAGCAUCUUCAAGUUCCUGGCUAAAUUUACAGCCUCUUGUGUUCAGCACCUGGAUUGUGCUCAGGAUGGCAAGAGAACAAAGCAAUCUGCUUGCUGUACUUGGGAUAGAGAAGACCUGCACGAGAAAGCCAGAUAUUCAAGAUGGUGUGAUUUCUAUCACAAGCUCUGAAGGACAGCAUGGCAGGACUUAACUGCAGACCAGUGUUUUCAUUAGAAGGAACGAACUGCCUGUAGAUGUGUCCUUACAACUCCAUUGUGCUCUGAACAGCUUCUUGCUGACCGCUGCCUCAAUAUCAGUGAUUCCACCUUAGACCAUAAGCUCCAUGAGGGUAAGAAUCAAGUACUUGUUUUGUUUUGUUUUUGUUACCGUAUGGACUCAGUGACUAGCACAGGCUGU